rnacentral:rRNA from 1 species
UACGUAGGGAGCAAGCGUUGUCCGGAAUCAUUGGGCGUAAAGCGCGCGUAGGCGGCCUCAUAAGUCCGUUGUGAAAGUCAAAGGCUCAACCUUUGAAAGCCGAUGGAUACUGUGAGGCUAGAGUCCGGAAGAGGCGAGUGGAAUUCCUGGUGUAGCGGUGGAAUGCGCAGAUAUCAGGAGGAACACCAAUAGCGAAGGCAGCUCGCUGGAACGGUACUGACGCUAAGGCGCGAAAGCGUGGGGAGCAAACAGG